rnacentral:rRNA from 1 species
UGGGGAAUAUUGCACAAUGGGCGAAAGCCUGAUGCAGCAACGCCGCGUGAGUGAUGACGGUCUUCGGAUUGUAAAGCUCUGUCUUUGGGGACGAUAAUGACGGUACCCAAGGAGGAAGCCACGGCUAACUACGUGCCAGCAGCCGCGGUAAUACGUAGGUGGCAAGCGUUGUCCGGAUUUACUGGGCGUAAAGGGUGCGUAGGCGGACCUUUAAGUGAGAUGUGAAAUCCCCGAGCUUAACUUGGGGGCUGCAUGUCAAACUGGAGAUCUAGAGUGCGGGAGAGGAGAGUGGAAUUCCUAGUGUAGCGGUGAAAUGCGUAGAGAUUAGGAAGAACACCAGUGGCGAAGGCGACUCUCUGGACUGUAACUGACGCUGAGGCACGAAAGCGUGGGGAGCAAACAG